rnacentral:rRNA from 1 species
GGUUGAUCCUGCCAGUAGUCAUAUGCUUGUCUCAAAGAUUAAGCCAUGCAUGUCUCAGUACAAGCCAAAAUAAGGUGAAACCGCGAAAGGCUCAUUAAAUCAGUUAUGGUUCCUUAGAUCGUACCCACAAUUACUUGGAUAACUGUGGUAAUUCUAGAGCUAAUACAUGCAAAUAGAGCUCCGACCGGAGACGGAAGGAGUGCUUUUAUUAGAUCAAAACCAAUCGGUGGCGAGCUUGCUCGUCAUCGUACAACUUGGUGACUCUGAAUAACUUUACGCUGAUCGCACGGUCAUCGCACCGGCGACGCAUCUUUCAAAUGUCUGCCUUAUCAACUGUCGAUGGUAGGUUCUGCGCCUACCAUGGUUGUAACGGGUAACGGGGAAUCAGGGUUCGAUUCCGGAGAGGGAGCCUGAGAAACGGCUACCACAUCCAAGGAAGGCAGCAGGCGCGCAAAUUACCCACUCCCGGCACGGGGAGGUAGUGACGAAAAAUAACGAUACGGGACUCAUCCGAGGCCCCGUAAUCGGAAUGAGUACACUCUAAACCCUUUAACGAGGAUCAAUUGGAGGGCAAGUCUGGUGCCAGCAGCCGCGGUAAUUCCAGCUCCAAUAGCGUAUAUUAAAG